UCCUUCACUUCCACCAUCUUCGUCUUCGUCACCGAGUCCUUGCCUGUUAACUCUAGCUCUAACAAGGUGACGACGACCAAUGGGAACCCUAGGCAGAGCAUUUUAAUCCGUCUGAUUUUGGAUCCGAGAGACCGGCCAAUCUCUCGAUCGCCUCGGAUGUCGCAGGCAGCAAUUGCUUCCGAGAACAACUAUCCAGGCAUCGGGCAUUGAUGAAUGUAUUUGAUAAGGCUCCGAUUCUGGAUAAGGAAGCUUUUGUAACCGUCAUAUUGGAAGAUGAUCAUCUAUUUGGUAUGUAUUCGUUCAACGAGGGGAUGUGAAUACUGACAGUGUUGGAUCAGGAACUAAUAUUAGGACAACU